rnacentral:rRNA from 1 species
GCAGUAGCCGCGGGAAUACGGAGGGUGCAAGCGUUAUCCGGAUUCACUGGGUUUAAAGGGUGCGUAGGCGGAUCUGUAAGUCAGUGGUGAAAUCUCCAGGCUUAACCUGGAAACUGCCGUUGAUACUAUAGGUCUUGAAUUUUGUGGAGGUUAGCGGAAUAUGUCAUGUAGCGGUGAAAUGCAUAGAUAUGACAUAGAACACCAAUUGCGAAGGCAGCUGGCUACACAACUAUUGACGCUGAGGCACGAAAGCGUGGGGAUCAAACAGGAUUAGAUACCCCCGUAGUCCCUGUCUCUUAUAC